GGGUUGUGCUCAAUGGUAGAGCGCUCGUCUAGCAUGCAUGAGGCACUGGGUUUGAUCCUCAGCAGCACA
rnacentral:tRNA from 1 species